rnacentral:tRNA from 1 species
GGUUCUAUGGUGUAAUGGUUAGCACUCUGGACUUUGAAUCCAGCGAUCCGAGUUCAAGUCUCGGCAGAACCU